GACAGAGGGUGCAAACGUUGCUCGGAAUCACUGGGCGUAAAGGGCGUGUAGGCGGGAAGGAAAGUCAGAUGUGAAAUCCCUGGGCUCAACCCAGGAACUGCAUUUGAAACUCCCUUUCUUGAGUGUCGGAGAGGAAAGCGGAAUUCCUGGUGUAGAGGUGAAAUUCGUAGAUAUCUGGAGGAACACCGGUGGCGAAGGCGGCAUCCUGGACCAACACUGACACUGAGGAGCGAAAGCCAGGGGAGCAAACGGG
rnacentral:rRNA from 1 species